CACUCAAUAGCUUAAUUUUAAAGCAUUAAACUUUUAAUUUAAAGAUAAGAAAAACUUUUGUGUGA
rnacentral:tRNA from 1 species